ensembl:lncRNA
GAGAAGGGGGAGGGAGGGCAGGCAGGCUUGGCUUUAUUGGCUCAGUGCUGUUGCCAAGGGCCCAGGUUCCUUCCAUCUUCGUGCUCUGUGAGUCUCUGCUCCACCUCUAGACUGCGUCCUCAGACACAUCAUAGUUCAGCAGGAUAAGAGCAGGACAGCAGCUCUGCGAAGAGCCAGGAAACCAUACCUCCAAGUCCCUCAACAGCACGGCUCCAGCAUUCCAUCAGUUAGAAUCAUGUCAGGGAAUUAACGUGGAGAUUAGCAAAGGAAGGGACCUGCCACAAUUGUCUCCCAGGAGCUGGGAGUGGGGCUGUCCUCUUCUGAGUCUCGGAAAUGGCAGAGAGGAGCAGAGCAGCGUUGUAAUUGUCACCAGCAAGAAGAGGCAGAUGGGGACCUACUGGAGUAACUGGUACCAGAUCCCAGGAAGGCUGAGAGUCCCUUAACAUCCCCAGGAAUGGGACAGAGUAACAUCAUAUACCUCCUGAUAUGCUACUCUGAGAUGAACCCAGCAUCACCUUUGGGGUACCCCAGCCAAGACUGUACAGCAUAAAUCAUCAUAAGGAAACAUCAGACAAACCUGAAAUGAGGAAGAGAAUAUCGAAGAGGAAACGGGUUUCUGUAGUGCUUGGCUCACACUCCUCGAUGUGGCUUAUGUUACAGCUAAUUGUGUGAACUAAGACAUUCAUCCCCCAACCCAGGUGGAAGGUGGCGACUACACACUGAGGAAAAGCACUUAGAUCCCAGACCGGUUGGAACCACAAGGCUGAUGAUUGAGACUCCUGAAAUAUCGCCCUGUUACCUCCUCACCACCAACCAAUCAGAAGAAAAUCAUGCACCCUACAGCCAUCACCCCAAACAUUGCAUUUAAAAAGCCUUCCCUGGGGGGACACAUUUUUUUUGAGAGGCAGGAGCCUGCUUUGUCCUCCUUUGCCUGCCAAAGCAAUAAAGAUAUUCAAAUACUUC